rnacentral:rRNA from 1 species
AUUGAACGCUGGCGGCAGGCCUAACACAUGCAAGUCGAGCGGAGCGGCGGACGGGUGAGUAAUGCCUAGGAAUCUGCCUGGUAGUGGGGGAUAACGUCCGGCAACGGGCGCUAAUACCGCAUCCUAAUAGAUUCACCUAGGUCGGAUUAGCUAGUGGGUGGGGUAAAGGCCUACCAGGGCGACGAUCCGUAACUGGUCUGAGAGGAUGAGCAGUCACACUGGAACUGAGACACGGUCCAGACUCCUACGGGAGGCAGCAGUGGGGAAUAUUGGACAAUGGGCGAAAGCCUGAUCCAGCCAUGCCGCGUGGGUGAAGAAGGUCUUCGGAUUGUAAAGCACUUUAAGUUGGGAGGCGUUACCAACAGAAUAAGCACCGGCUAACUUCGUGCCAGCAGCCGCGGUAAUAC